rnacentral:rRNA from 1 species
GCACAAGCGGUGGAGCAUGUUGGUUUAAUUCGAAGCAACGCGAAGAACCUUACCAGGUCUUGACAUCCCGAUGCUAUUUCUAGAGAUAGAAAGUUACUUCGGUACAUCGGUGACAGGUGGUGCAUGGUUGUCGUCAGCUCGUGUCGUGAGAUGUUGGGUUAAGUCCCGCAACGAGCGCAACCCCUAUUGUUAGUUGCCAUCAUUCAGUUGGGCACUCUAGCGAGACUGCCGGUAAUAAACCGGAGGAAGUGGGGAUGACGUCAAAUCAUCAUGCCCCUUAUGACCUGGGCUACACACGUGCUACAAUGGUUGGUACAACGAGUUGCGAGUCGGUGACGGCGAGCUAAUCUCUUAAAGCCAAUCUCAGUUCGGAUUGUAGGCUGCAACUCGCCUACAUGAAGUCGGAAUCGCUAGUAAUCGCGGAUCAGCACGCCGCGGUGAAUACGUUCCCGGGCCUU